CGGGUUCCCAACCUUAUCAAGUUCACAGGCAUCUCGAUCACCAAGGAAGGCCAGUACAGCCUGGUCCUUGAUAUUGCAGACCACCCGGUCAAAUUUACGAGUUCGUUCGACGUAAAGCUUUUUUCACUGGGACUGAGACACGGCCCAGACUCCUACGGGAGGCAGCAGUGGGGAAUAUUGCGCAAUGGGCGAAAGCCUGACGCAGCAACGCCGCGUGGAGGAUGAAGGCUCUCGGGUUGUAAACUCCUUUCAGCAGGGACGAAAAUGACGGUACCUGCAGAAGAAGCCCCGGCUAACUACGUGCCAGCAGCCGCGGUGAGACGUAGGGGGCAAGCGUUGUCCGGAUUUAUUGGCGUAAGAGCUCGUAGGCGGCGUUGGCAAGUCGGAUGUGAAAUCUCCAGGCUUAACCUGGAGUCGCCAUCCGAUACUGCUAUGGCUAGAGUCCGGUAGAGGAUCGUGGAAUUCCUGGUGUAGCGGUG
rnacentral:rRNA from 1 species